UACAGAGGGUGCAAGCGUUGUUCGGAAUUACUGGGCGUAAAGCGCGUGUAGGUGGCGAUGUAAGUCGGGUGUGAAAUCCCUCAGCUUAACUGAGGAAGUGCACUCGAUACUGUGUCGCUUGAGUGUUGGAGGGGAUGGCGGAAUCCCCGGUGUAGAGGUGAAAUUCGUAGAUAUUCGGAAGAACACCAGUGGCGAAGGCGGCUCACUGGCCCGGUACUGACGCUGAUGUGCGAAAGCGUGGGGAGCAAACAGG
rnacentral:rRNA from 1 species